rnacentral:rRNA from 1 species
AGAGUUUGAUCCUGGCUCAGGAUGAACGCUGGCGGCGUGCCUAACACAUGCAAGUCGAGCGGCAGCGCGAGUAGUUUACUACUUGGCGGCGAGCGGCGAACGGCUGAGUAACGCGUGGGAAUUUGCCCCAAAGUGAGGAAUAACUGCCCGAAAGGGUGGCUAAUGCCGCAUAUGAUCUUCGGAUUAAAGGAUUUAUCCGCUUUGGGAGAAGCCCGCGUCGGAUUAGGUAGUUGGUGAGGUAAUGGCUCACCAAGCCGACGAUCCGUAGCUGGUCUGAGAGGAUGACCAGCCAGACUGGAACUGAGACACGGUCCAGACUCCUACGGGAGGCAGCAGUGAGGAAUCUUCCACAAUGGGCGAAAGCCUGAUGGAGCAACGCCGCGUGCAGGACGAAGGCCUUCGGGUUGUAAACUGCUUUUAUAAGUGAGGAAUAUGACGGUAACUUAUGAAUAAGGAUCGGCUAACUACGUGCCAGCAGCCGCGGUCAUACGUAGGAUCCGAGCGUUAUCCGGAGUGACUGGGCGUAAAGAGUUGCGUAGGCGGUUUGUUAAGUGAAUAGUGAAAUCUGGUGGCUCAACCAUACAGGCUAUUAUUCAAACUGGCAAACUCGAGAGUGGUAGAGGUCACUGGAAUUUCUUGUGUAGGAGUGAAAUCCGUAGAUAUAAGAAGGAACACCGAUGGCGUAGGCAGGUGACUGGACCAUUUCUGACGCUAAGGCACGAAAGCGUGGGGAGCGAACCGGAUUAGAUACCCGGGUAGUCCACGCCGUAAACGAUGGAUACUGGCUGUUGGAGGUAUCGACCCCUUCAGUAGCGAAGCUAACGCGUUAAGUAUCCCGCCUGUGGAGUACGGCCGCAAGGCUAAAACAUAAAGGAAUUGACGGGGACCCGCACAAGCGGUGGAUCGUGUUCUUUAAUUCGAUGCUAAACGAAGAACCUUACCAGGGCUUGACAUCCAGGGAAUUUUUGGGAAACCAAUUAGUGCCUUUUGGAACCCUGUGACAGGUGAUGCAUGGCCGUCGUCAGCUCGUGUCGUGAGAUGUUUGGUUAAGUCCAUCAACGAGCGCAACCCUUGUGUCUAGUUGUAUUUUUCUAGACAGACUGCUUCGGUAACGGAGAGGAAGGAGGGGAUGAUGUCAGGUCAGUAUUUCCC